UUUAUUGCUAUUCCCAAUCUGUCCGCUAGGUGGCAGCGUAACUGAAUGGAGUAGAUACGCACCAGAGGAAGAAUAAACCCUCUUGUUAAAAUGCUACCAGCAGCUCAACUUGUGUGCUGUUCCAUAUCACAGACUGACAGUGUUUCGAGCAAGAGACAUCCUGCGAGCAUCCCUUUCAGCACCUGAUUGAACAGCCUAAAGACUAAACCACGGGGGAAGUCGUAUGCGAUGUAGUUGUUGACCCUUACCAGUGAAGGGUGAAAGAAUCAGGGAGGAGUGGUCCCCGGAACAUUUUGUCCUGUUCCGCCUCGGAAGCACGCGUCCCGCUGCCGAUGCUCAGCAGGCCAGGCCUUCCACUUCUCUGUUUUCCAGGCGUGAGGAUGUGAACGUGCCUCCCUACAAGGAGAGCAGCAUCGCUUCAGAUUCCUCAUCAGUGAUGCAAUGAGCAUUCCCACAGGCUGCUGUGAGCGACAUUCUCAGGCUGUGCCGCUCAAAACGGAACAAAUAAAACACAACAGCUCUUCACUCUCAGAAUAGACUAAAAUGGGUUUUCAUCACUUUAAACAAAACUCUCCAAACUGCUACAUGAGAAAUGUAUCUGAUCUAUGUCCCAUACUCCUUCCUUUAUUUGCAUGUUUUUGUUGGGAGUUUUUCCAAAAUGCAGUGAUGUGUCCAUGAUAGACUUUGUCAAUCUCAAGGGUGGAUUGGUGUCUUGCUACAUUUACAGAUAUAAUGUAUGUGUUUUGUUUUGAUCAAUAUUUGCCACUAAUUAUGUAAAACUUGAAAUCCAUUGGUUUAAAAGUCGUUUUUUGUGUUAGCCAGAAGUGGAUGAAGUUUCCAAAAAUUGCUUUCAAGUAAGAGUACUUUACGUUGGAAUGUUGUUAUAACCAAGUAAAUAAUUCCUAAAAUAACUUAAGGUAGUGGAGCAAGAGCUUAGAAAAAAAACUACUUUAUAACACCUCAGAGGGGAAGUCCCUGGUUCAAAUCCCGACUGGGUCUAUCUUUGUGUGGCCCUGCGAUGGACAGCUGAACUGUCCAGUGUGUACGGCACCUUCACCUGACAGUAAAGGCUCCAGCAUCCACAUGAUCAUCAAAAGGUAUAAGUGAGAAAACCAGAUGGGGGGAUGUGCCAAGUUAUAGAUUAUAUAUUAUAUAUUACUUAACCAUUGAGAACUUAAUGAAUUAACCAAAAAAAAGAAAUAUUUAAAAACCUUAUACUGUGAGUCCAAAAAAGAACAUUUUGAAAUGGUUUUGUUGCACAAGAAACUAGAAUUUAGAUCAAAGUAGUGGAGCUUGAAGGUUUGCUUCAUCUGACAUUGUUUUUAAAAAUCAUUAAUU